GCCCCGAUAGCUCAGCAGGAUAGAGCGGCUGCCUCCUAAGCAGCAGGUCACGCGUUCGAAUCGCGUUCGGGGUA
rnacentral:tRNA from 1 species